rnacentral:rRNA from 1 species
CAUAUACGACCGUACCGCAAACCGACACUGGUGCGCGAGAUGAGUAUUCUAAGGCGCUUGAGAGAACUCAGGAGAAGGAACUCGGCAAAUUGACACCGUAACUUCGGAAGAAGGUGUGCCCUAUUAGUGUGUAGUGAACAACGAAGCAUGAAUGGGUUGCAAAAAAUCGGUGGCUGCGACUGUUUAUUAAAAACACAGCACUCUGCAAACACGAAAGUGGACGUAUAGGGUGUGACGCCUGCCCGGUGCUGGAAGAUUAAAUGAUGGGGUGCAAGCUCUUGAUUGAAGUCCCAGUAAACGGCGGCCGUAACAAUAACGGUCCUAAGGUAGCGAAAUUCCUUGUCGGGUAAGUUCCGACCUGCACGAAUGGCGUAACGAUGGCCACACUGUCUCCUCCUGAGACUCAGCGAAGUUGAAAUGUUUGUGAUGAUGCAAUCUCCCCGCGGAAAGACGGAAAGACCCCAUGAACCUUUACUGUAGCUUUGUAUUGGACUUUGAACAGAUCUGUGUAGGAUAGGUGGGAGGCUUUGAAGCAGGGUCGCUAGAUCUUGUGGAGCCAACGUUGAAAUACCACCCUGGUGUUUGAGGUUCUAACCUAGGUCCAUUAUCUGGAUCGGGGACAGUGCAUGGUAGGCAGUUUGACUGGGGCGGUCUCCUCCCAAAGCGUAACGGAGGAGUUCGAAGGUACGCUAGUUACGGUCGGACAUCGUGACGAUAGUGCAAUGGCAUAAGCGUGCUUAACUGCGAGACUGACAAGUCGAGCAGAUGCGAAAGCAGGACAUAGUGAUCCGGUGGUUCUGUAUGGAAGGGCCAUCGCUCAACGGAUAAAAGGUACUCUGGGGAUAACAGGCUGAUACCGCCCAAGAGUUCAUAUCGACGGCGGUGUUUGGCACCUCGAUGUCGGCUCAUCUCAUCCUGGGGCUGUAGCCGGUCCCAAGGGUAUGGCUGUUCGCCAUUUAAAGAGGUACGUGAGCUGGGUUUAAAACGUCGUGAGACAGUUUGGUCCCUAUCUUCCGUGGGCGCUGCAGAUUUGAGGAAGCCUGCUCCUAGUACGAGAGGACCGGAGUGGACACACCUCUGGUGUAUCGGUUGUCACGCCAGUGGCAUUGCCGAGUAGCUAAGUGUGGAAGAGAUAACCGCUGAAAGCAUCUAAGCGGGAAACUCGUUUCAAGAUGAGAUCUGCCGGGGCCUUGAGCCCCCUAAAGAGUCGUUCAAGACCAGGACGUUGAUAGGUCAGGUGUGGAAGCGA